GCGAGAUCGGCGCGCGCUCGCCCGUGCCCUGCGCGGGCUCCUCCCUCCAGUCAAGUUGUCUCGCGGCGUCUGAGCAGCCUGCGCUCUGUGCGGUGGCACCACUGUCCUGCAUCAGAGGUCCACAUCCCCUGCAUUUCCAGAUACCUCAACUACUUUCAGCCCACCGUGGAUUGUGUAGCACUGUAGGAUUUACUACUGGAAACAGCUGUGUGCAUGCGGACCUGCGUGGUUCAAACCUAUGUUGUUUGUCUACACACUUAUACAUGGUAGAAUUUCUGUCCUUCAACACAGAAGAUCAGAAGCAUUUAGCUCCCCAAAUCACCACCACUGACAGGUGCCUGUGCUCAGGGCUGGAGAAGCCUGUGUGCGGGGCACCUCUGCUGUGUGCUUUCUGUGGAUCUACUCCUGGCAAAGCCUGAACUGAAACUAACGAAGUUCCCUUGUUGGGGGUGGAACGGCAGGACAGGCACUGUACUGGGGAUCUGCUGCAGUGACCGCCUACUGAGAUUCACCAGGACAGACCAGAGCAUGAUGGGGCUGGUGUGUGCAGGACACCUCCUGCUGAGACCCAGCAAGCAGCAGUGUGGACCAGGAAUUUUUUCAAACAGAUGGAGAACAGUCCACUUAAAGAAGACUGUCCGGGACAAACACUGGGUCCAGUAUUUAAAGCUGGUGCAGGGAAGGUGGAAGCUGCUCAGGGGCAAGGACAGUGUCUCCACGUGGGGUCAGUGUUUGCCACCAAGGGCUCUGUCAUGAGCUGUGUCUAGCACGGCAGCACCUGCUUUCUUGGCUGAACCACUCUGCAGGGACGGCACUUUGCUCUGCCAGGGCCCAGGGGGCUGCUCCUGAGUCUGACAGUGGUUUUGGUGAGUCAUGGCGCCCGCACAGCAAAGGGCAGGAGGUGCCUAACGAGCCGUUGCCACAGCACUUGGACUAAUCAGGAGCCAUCACAGAGGCACCCGGCACGUCUCCUGGGAGGGGUGCAGGAGGAAGACGCCCAACACAGACGCUGUGGCCACAGACAGGAUCACCAAGCAAGAAGGUAGGGUCUCCCUGGAUCACGGAGCUCGGCUUGAAACAGUACAGACACUCAGUGCUGACAGCUGGGGUGGGGGGCGGUCAGAGGCCCAGGAAGGCUACUGUGAUCCCAGGCCCUUUCCCUCCUCUGACCUCAGUGUUCCAAUGACAGGGACCUAUGAUACUCAGUGCAUGACGGGGUGUAGUCAUCAAAGGAGAACUCUGUCUUUUUUAUUCAUAUAAUUCUGAUGUUGGUCUGACACCACCAUUCCUUUGGGAAUUAGGUUCACUAGAGAGGCCGCUCAGCAUUCUCAUUGCUGUGGGACAUUUUCCCCUGUGAACUCAAAAAUGGUGCCUGAAAACAACAGGAAGGUCUCAGAGAACUCAGCUUUUAGAAAACAAAUAACAAAUAAUAUAAAUGUAAUAUUUUAGUUAGAAAUGUUUACUUUAUGAAACCUGUUUGAAUGGGCUGCUCCAAUAGAACUGAGUUCUCUAAAUAACCAGCAGCUCCGUGAUGGGUUAUGACGGCUGAAGGCUGGAAGGGGGCGCGUCUCCUCCACAGUCUAAGUAUGUUCACCCCGCCUUGCCCCUCGACUAUCACUGGGAUUCGGAAAGGACAGAGAAGAGCGUCCGUGAAAAUCGCCCGUGAUCCUAACACCAGAGAGCACCAGUGACACCCCGGCCCAGGGGCGUCAGACAGCCCAUCCGCACGCCUGCACAGGCCUCAUGCUCUUCGAUGGCUCUUCCCUCUGCCUGGCUCUUUCAUCCUGAAAACCAUCCACAGGCGUUCAGGGCCCGCCUGGCUCCCUGCCCUGACCCCUCCAGCCAAUCACUGUGACCCUGAUGUCUUUGUCCUUGACGCUGCUUCCUCACCUUCUGAGGUGCCCCCCUUCGAUUAGGUCCUUUCUGUGUCUGUCUGUCUUCCUCACUAGAAUGAAAACUCUGAGGGUAGGACCUUUUGUCCUUCAUUCACUGCUGCAUCCCCAGUGCCUGGAACAUUGCCCAGCACAUAACAGGUGUUCCAAAAAAGGCUUGUAGAGUGAAUAGCUCCUCAGCAAGUCACACAGGCACUUAAGUGAGGCAGGAGGAGCCGCUUAAAACCUCUUGAGGCAGUUUUAUCAACAAAUGUACUUGUGGUAAAAAAGAAAAAAAAAAAGUAGCUAUUGUGUCAGGAGCUGCUUCAGCUGUGUUACAGUGUUGAGAAGCGAGUGUCCCGCACUGAACAAGGAUCCUGGAAUGUGCACUUCUAGGUCCCUACAGUCAAGUCAAAGGUGGUUUCAAUUGUAUUUUUUUCUGCCAAGUUCCAGGAGCCAGGGAUAGAGACCAAUGUUAAAUCAUUGUUUUAUGACUUCAUGGCAUGACUCCCAACAAUAUUGGAAUCCAGCAGAUUCAUCUCAGUGAUGCCUGCAGGUGGGAGACAAACCAUAAUGUAGGAGAGAUGGGGCAGCUGGAAGGACAUUUUGGAAACUGCUAACAAUAGAGUCUUUGCAUAAACGAUUUGUAAGUAAUAAACACUAAGACCCCUAAGAGCUUACCAACUUCACUCAACAGAAACUAGGAGAAAAGAGCACUUUAAAAAAAUGGAACAGAAGAAGCCAAUUAAGUGAAGGACGCUCUGUCCUACCUAGAGCCGCUAGGAACUCAUGACAUCCCGGGAGCCGCCACAGCUGGACGCUGAUGGAGACCUGAAUGGGGGCCGAUGUGAAGUCCUGCUCCUUCUCACUGGCCUGCAGCUGGACCAGCACCUGGUGGAGCUGAGUGGGGAGAGCGUCAGCGCCCGCUGCGUCCGGCCCCCCACGAUUUGUCCCUAAGUUUUUCCUGUGUCACCUGUUCUUGUCAUUUCUAACGACCUUACAUGGGGGCAGCAUCUGAAAUUCUUUUCACAGUGCCUUUA